rnacentral:rRNA from 1 species
GAUGAACGCUAGCUACAGGCUUAACACAUGCAAGUCGAGGGGCAGCAUGGUCUUAGCUUGCUAAGGCCGAUGGCGACCGGCGCACGGGUGAGUAACACGUAUCCAACCUGCCGUCUACUCUUGGACAGCCUUCUGAAAGGAAGAUUAAUACAAGAUGGCAUCAUGAGUCCGCAUGUUCACAUGAUUAACGGUAUUCCGGUAGACGAUGGGGAUGCGUUCCAUUAGAUAGUAGGCGGGGUAACGGCCCACCUAGUCUUCGAUGGAUAGGGGUUCUGAGAGGAAGGUCCCCCACAUUGGAACUGAGACACGGUCCAAACUCCUACGGGAGGCAGCAGUGAGGAAUAUUGGUCAAUGGGCGCAGGCCUGAACCAGCCAAGUAGCGUGAAGGAUGACUGCCCUAUGGGUUGUAAACUUCUUUUAUAAAGGAAUAAAGUCGGGUAUGUAUACCCGUUUGCAUGUACUUUAUGAAUAAGGAUCGGCUAACUCCGUG